AGCCAAAGAGGCUGCCCACAGGAGAGCUAUGGAGGCAAAGGAAAAAAAUGGAAGCAUGCUCAGGAGGAAAGGGAGGCGGCCCACAGCAGAGCUAUCGAGACAAGGGAAAAAGAAAUGGAGGAAAAGGAAAAAGAGAGGAAGCAUGCACUGGAGAUGGAGAAGG